UGGGCUGGAAGAUUAUUUCUGUAGCCAAAGAAAAACCAUUGAAAAAAUAUUUUUCACACCGCAAAGCACAGGACUCUGUGCUCCCCUUUCCAGGGGUCAGAAAAGAGACAAGUCCCAGCUGUUGGCUGCUCUCUCCCUGGCCCCUCGGCUGUGAGGAACAUCUCAUGGUCGUCGGAGGUCGCUGGGCCCCUGCUGGCCCUGUGAGGAAGGCAAAUGGCGGCCCUGCGAGUGAGGCAGGCCCAGGCCUCUCUGCGUGAUGUUGCGAGGGCAAGAAUGUGGAGGGGAAGGGGAUGUGGGGCACUCCUCAGCCCUGCUUCACAGCCCUGCUUCAGUUCCCACUACAGAAACUACUGGAUAGGAAUAAAUGUGGGGUGUUUGGUUUUGCUGCCUAUUCUCACAGGAGAAUGGGUACGGUACAGAAAUAUCCUGGCUGUAACUGAAGGAAGACCAAAUGUGCAAACAAGUUGAAACUGUCUCUUAUUUUUAAGGCACUCAUUCAAAUGAUUUGGGAAGUUAUUCUUUCUCCCCAACCCCCACCUUUUCAGUCUCUUGGUAUAAGUAAGUGGUGUAAGAAAUGCCAGACUGUGAUCUUGUACAGACUAUCACCUUUUCAUCAGCUUUCUGAUAGUAACAGGAAAUUGUCAGAUUAACUAAACUUCCUAAAUUCCACUCUAAGAGCCCCCCCAUCCUUGCAUCAUUGCCAAAGGUAAAUCAAACGGCAUUCACAAACUCGCCCAUCAGAGGGGAGCACAGCACCAGCUCAGAGGGGUAGGCGUGGCUGCAUCCAGUCAAAAUCCUCAGUCUUAGCGGGGAAAAAUGCAGAAUUAAAUGGUCAGUCAUGCCUAGCAAAAUCGUUAGUCACAAGGCUGCGGUAUGUUCCUUGCUGAGGAGCUGGGAGCUCAUUCAGGCACUUUUCUGAAAUCUCUUCAGUAGGAGGGAGAUGUAGAAAAGUGCAGGGGACUAGUGGGAGCUUGCCACAAGGAUUGCUCCUCUGCUGCACCUUUCCUAGGCAUCUUAGCACCGAUUCAGACACUUGCGUUAGCUGGCACUCCUACGAUAGAGCUCUUUCUAGUUUUGCGUUUUUGCUAAUUUACUCACCCUGACGUUAUCUCGGAGCUGAUGUGCAGUGAAAAGAUAACGACGGACGCACAGACUGAGUCCUCUUCCCGCUGCCCCUCUCGCCAGCUCACUUCCAGCGCUGGCGUUGUUCCAGAGCGACGUGAGGAACGUCAGUGCUGAUCAAAGAACAACCAGGGGGUGGGGAGGAUGCGGCUUCCCUGCUUGUUCCUGGAGGGGGCUGCUGAGCUGCAGGGGCAGGACAUGGAGCCCAUCAGGGUGCAGCAGCUGCGGUUUCAUAUCCUCUGUGAUUCCUAGCCUGACUGUAACAUCAACCUGGCACCGCACCACAUAACAUUGAUUUUUCCACCCCUCCACCUCUGUAUUUACAUUUAUUCAUACACCCUGUUUUUCAUGCACCUUCCCCAUGUCUGGUAUUACUUUCCUCACGAAUUAAGGAUCAUCGAUGGAAAACAUUGUGUAUUUUUUGCCCAGAGGCAGAGGAAGCACUCUGUUCCAGACUCUCAGCUUGCAUGGAGCUGGGAUGUUUUGAAAAAUUGUUUCUUAUUUUGGACUGACUUCGGAUGGAGCUUGCGAUUCUCCGGGAUGACCUCUCUGCAGAGUGCAGAGAUGCUGCCAUGUGUGGUUAAAAUGUGACAUGCCUGAAAUAGUUCCUCCAGGCGAGCUGUGGGAUGCAGCCUCCCUCGGUCCUGGUGCGGCGCCAGCCGCCUGUUCUGCGCAUCGCGGCCGGGCCCUGAGAGAGAGAGAGCGGCGUACCCCAGCUCGCCUUUUGCAGGACAUCCUUUGUGCUGCGGACAGAUGACCUGACCUGCGACUGCUCCAAAAAGGAUGUCAGAUUGCCUGGGGACGUGCUUUGGGGUUACUGCCCAGAUAAAAGCUCGUAGCUUCCUUUACUCAAAAGCUGAUGAUAAUUGCACUCUGCUUUUGCAAGCCAUGUUUAUCAGCACUUUCUCCUCUUUAACUUAGUGGUAGAAACAAGCUUGGUUGCCAGCUUUGGGAAAAGAGAAAAAAAAAAAAAAAAAAGAGUCAUCUGCAUGCAGCUCAUGGGGACCUCCUGGCAGCCUCAGCUAUUUGGGUGUCGAAAUAGCCUGUGCCACGCAUGCAGCCAGGUGGUUCUCAAUCUGCUGGACACGAGUGUGCACUGGAAUGGUUGGAAAAGGUUAAAAACCAGGACUGUGCUUGAGCCGCCUCACUCUCAACAGGCCCCUCGUGCUGGGCUGGAGAAGACAUCCCGAGGAUGUACCAGCAGCCAGGAGAACCGCUGUCAUCAUCAGGACGGAGUCGGAGCUGUGUGUGUGAUGUCAAGAUGGAUGGACGGAUCUGAAGUUUAAUAAUUUUAGGCAUUCUUUGGGAUAAUAUUUUAAUUCUGUUUGGUUGGUAAUUAUUACGUGUUGGCACUUAAACACCUAUGCUGAACUUGAAAUGUUUUAUAGUUAUUUCACAGCUAGAUUCGCCCCAUACGUGUAUAUGAGCUGUUUGCUUGUACGCAUUUAUUCAGACUGAACUUCCACACCUGCUCUGUGAUGUAAUGGAAGAAACAGUUCUGGAUUGGGCUCUUACACAACGAUUUGUCUUGAGCUAUGUUUGGAAACUGGAACUCAACAAAAAUGCACUAAUUGAUUUUCUCAUUAAAUGGAGCUACUUGUAGUCAGCAUGUUUUGCAUCUAAAGUUGACUUUAGUGCUAUCUUAGUUUUCCAUUAAUGAAUUGGAUGUUUUGCUCUUGCUGUUAUUUUUCAGCUUGGAUUUCAAUGACUGUAGAAUUUUGAAUCCUGUAAUCUCAUCUCUACUUUUAUUUUUAAUUUAUCAGCUGUAAGAGGAAAACAAGUUUCCUGUGUUUUUUUUUUUUUUUUUUCCCCCAAAUCCCAUUUGGUCUUUUUAACUCUGAACAAACUACUUCCUGUGCUGAAUAAGAUGUAUAAUUGGAAAUAAUAGAAAAGCUUUUCUCUGCACCUGCAAAAAAGAGGCACAGCACAAAUCAGCCUUGGCUCCGAGAAGCUCCAGGUGCUUACUGACUGCCCUGCUUCAGGUGUCUCAGUUUUCCAACUUUUGGCAGCAGUCCUGUAUUGCUUGAUAUCAGUCUUUUUGUAAAGAGAAACAGAAACAAAAUAAUAAAAAGCAAAUGUUCAUAAAUUGGUUUUAAAAGCUAAUUAAACUUUAAUACUUUGUUUG